CACGUAGGGGGCAAGCGUUGUCCGGAUUUAUUGGGCGUAAAGAGCUCGUAGGCGGCUCAGUAAGUCGGGUGUGAAACCUCCAGGCUCAAUCUGGAGACGCCACCCGAUACUGCUGUGGCUUGAGUCCGGUAGGGGAGCGUGGAAUUCCUGGUGUAGCGGUGAAAUGCGCAGAUAUCAGGAGGAACACCAGCGGCGAAGGCGGCGCUCUGGGCCGGAACUGACGCUAAGGCGCGAAAGCGUGGGGAGCAAACAGG
rnacentral:rRNA from 1 species